GACGAACGCUGGCGGCGUGCUUAACACAUGCAAGUCGAACGCUGAAGCUCAGCUUUUGUUGGGUGGAUGAGUGGCGAACGGGUGAGUAACACGUGAGUAACCUGCCCCCUUCUUUGGGAUAACGCCCGGAAACGGGUGCUAAUACUGGAUAUUCACUGGUCUUCGCAUGGGGGUUGGUGGAAAGGGUUUUUCUGGUGGGGGAUGGGCUCGCGGCCUAUCAGCUUGUUGGUGGGGUGAUGGCCUACCAAGGCUUUGACGGGUAGCCGGCCUGAGAGGGUGACCGGUCACAGUGGGACGGAGAUACGGCCCAGACUCCUACGGGAGGCAGCAGUGGGGAAUAUUGCACAAUGGGCGCAAGCCUGAUGCAGCGACGCCGCGUGAGGGAUGGAGGCCUUCGGGUUGUGAACCUCUUUCGCUCAUGGUCAAGCCGCAACAAUGGUUGUGGUGAGGGUAGUGGGUAAAGAAGCGCCGGCUAACUACGUG
rnacentral:rRNA from 1 species